GUAAAGCACUUUCAGUAGGGAGGAAGGUAGUGUAGUUAACACCUGCAUUAUUUGACGUUACCUACAGAAGAAGCACCGGCUAACUCCGUGCCAGCAGCCGCGGUAAUACGGAGGGUGCGAGCGUUAAUCGGAAUUACUGGGCGUAAAGCGCAUGCAGGCGGCCUGUUAAGUCAGAUGUGAAAGACCCGGGGCGUUAACCUCGGAAUUGCAUUUGAAACUGGCAGGCUAGAGUCUUGUAGAGGGGGGUAGGAAUUUCAGGUGUAGCGGUGAAAUGCGUAGAGAUCUGAAGGAAUACCAGUGGCGAAGGCGGCCCCCUGGACAAAGACUGACGCUCAGAUGCGAAAGCGUGGGGAGCAAACAGGAUUAGAUACCCUGGUAG
rnacentral:rRNA from 1 species